AGCCCGACGUGGGGCUCGAACUCACCAGCCAGGAGAUCAUGACCUGAGCCGAAGUCCGUCGCCUAACCGACUGAGCCACCCAGGCACCCCACGGCCAAUCGUUAUUAAUGGGGGAAAGGGAUCAGGAAUAAGUAAGUAAACAUGUCAGGGCUAGCACUGAGAAGCCAAAUCUAGCAGCGUAAGGGGACGGGGCGUGACCCAGGGGAGAGGUCAGGGCAUUGGUAGCAUUCAGCUCCGCGCUACCCCGGGGGCUCCUAGAGGAUUCUGGGCAAGAGAAGCCCAGCCAUGCUGUGCCAGCCCCGGGGCGGGGGGCAGGGGGGAGCUGGGUUUCCAAGUCUGUGCACUUACUUGGUUUUAUUCGGUCAUGGAUGUCCCAGCUUGUUUUACCAGCCAACCCGUUCUGUAGACCCAGGAGCCACCACGGGCUGGCCACAGCAGGCUGUCAGUCACAUCUGCUCAGCACGGAGGAGGCUCUCACCACAUCACAGGGAGCUGUGUGGCUUCCAGCUCGGGGUGAGGGUGGGGGGAGCCCAUCCCCUUCUGGGUCCCCUUCGUGGGGCCUUGGGGACAGUCAGCACCCAGGCCAGAGGCAACAGACGCCUCCCCAGCUACACACCCCAGGCCUGAGGGUUUGGGGUUUGGAAGGAGGCCUGGGUCACAGUGACCACUUCUGUCCCUGUGGCUCAAGCCACUGCUUCAGGCCCGGGGUGGGAGAGUGUCCAGGAAGCGUGUGGCCCUCCUUCGGCUGUCGGGAGACCAGGCAGUGGCUCCUGGGCUCAUGCAGAGUCUCAUCCGGGGUUGGUGCACAGCACAACCAGGGACCCGGAGCCUCCUCACCAUGGCUGCUAAGUGUAGGCAGGUCCUGACCUCCGUCCUGCCUGCCCUCCUGCUGGGACUCACAGGUAAGUCCUGGGUGCUGCCCCGAGACACCCUCAGACCUGGCAGGGAAGCCCUCGGGGAUUACUACAUGCAGCUGCCUUGGGUUGCAGGGGUCUGGGGCCCACAGGACCUAGAAGGGCCCUUUGCCUACCUGCCAGGGCGUGUCCUGUCUUCACCUGUGAGAAACAAAGGUGAUGGGGGGUUGGGGCCAGGAGGCCACAAGGACGACAGACUGGGGGAGGGCAGGGGGUGAAGGGGGAGCCCACCUCCCACCCGGUCUCCCUGAUGUCAGCUCUGGUCCGAGUGGCUAACACAUCUAGGUCAGAGAGGGUGUGAGGGUGGGAGGGACAGAAAGGGAGACCCCCCCCCCGCCGAGUGAUGGCGCCUCUGGCCUUGAAAGAAGAUUGCAGGGUUCUCAGUCAGACUGCUUAACCUCCCUCCUUAGCGUCCCCCCCCCACCCCCGCAGGCUGUGUGACCUCGUACAAGUCACUAAACCUCUCUGUGGCUGUCUCCUCUUCUGGAAAGCGGGGACAACAAUACCAGCCUCCCGCAGUGGGAUGCGGAUGAGAAUAAACACACACUUGGAAACGUUCUAUGAGCCACAGGGUGCCCCGUGCAGUGGGGUGACGAUGAUCAGGAGGGACUACUGAGAAGAGAGCAUGAUGCAGAAGGUUCCAGAGCUGGGUGCUGAGAGGAUAUGCUCCACAGCCACCCGAGCUGCCCUCUGUCACCCAGAACCCUGCAUUGUCAGUGCUGGUUUAUCUGUCCUCCCCACACCCACACACCUGACCAGAUGCUCCUCCAGCGCCAGGGUCCUGUCUGACACCUCUCUGUGUCCCCAGGACCCAGCUCACAGACCAGCUCAGCGCAGCGGCGCGGGGGGGGAGGCUGGGGGCAGUGAAGACUUGCAGAAGUCACCGCUGUCACGCCCCUGCAGGCUGUCAUGAGGGGAAGGGGAGCCCAGUCCUGCAGGUGCCCUGGGAUGACUCUAGGGCACAGAUUGGAGGCUAGAAGAGGAAGGGGAAUGCUGCCUCAGGUGGAGAGAAUGCCGCGUCCCUGGAGCUGAGCAAGCAGAGAUGUGGACGGGAAGGACCAGAUUAGGAGGGUCGGCCAUCCCUGCCCGCAGUGGCUCUCGAUGUCACACUGGUGUCCAAAAGGGAGAUCUUUGUGUCCUCGCCACACCUCUCCCCGAACCUAGAACCGUCCGCCUGGAUGCCCGACAGAAAAGCCUGGGACACAUUUCCCCAUAGCCCGCUGUGUCCAGUCUGUGACCGAGUCCUGCUGGCUGUUUCUGCCGAACGGGUCUCAGGUCCCCCCCAUCGCUCACUGGCCUGGCCCAGGCAGUCCUGGGUCCCCUCCUCACUGCUGUCGCUGCUCCCAUCCUGCCACCUGCUUUCCAUCCUCUACACGGCGACCACAGUAUCCUUUUAAACCACGUCGGCGAGGCCACCUGGUCCUGUGUUCACGGUCUCCAGUGGCUUCCGGUCUCACUCAGAAUAGAGUCAGCAGCAUUACCUUGAACCACAGGCUUUUCCCCAUCUGGACCUCUUUGCCCAUGAUGCUGGAGUCCUACAGAUCUCUCAGCCUCUCAAGCCGGGCGGCCCUUCAUCUCUCUGACGGGCCCAUCUCGGAGGACGACCCCGGGAAACCCGGUGCCUUUUAACUGUACCGCCGGCCCCUUCAACUCCUGGGAUUUCAAUGUCACCUGGAUGAAGGGCAGCGAUGAGCAUCCAGCCUCAGCCCAGCACCUGGUGACCCACAACCAAGGCCACUACUUCGUUACCAGUAAGGUGCGGGUGACACUGACCCUCCAGGAUCUCUUACUGGAGAUCACCUGCGAAGUCACCCACAGGGCGCUGGGAGAGCCUCUGCGAAAGACCAUGACCCUCUCCCAAGUGCUCCAAGUUGUCCCCACCCUGAAGAUCACCACCAAGACCUCCGGGACGUACAUCCACGUGCAACAGAGAGUGAAUCUCAUCUGCCACGCGAGCCACUUCUACCCCUCCCACCUACGUCUCACCUGGAUGGAGAACAGACACCAGGUCCACACGGUGGAGUCCCCACAGGUCACGAGAAACCCAGAUGGCACCUACUCUCUGAAGCACACGUGGCAGGCGGAGGCCACGCUGGACGGGAGCGAGUUUGCUUGCUGGGUGGUCCAGGAUGAGCAGCCACCCGUCCGGGCCAACAUCACCCUGCGGGCCCAGGCACCCAGGCUGGGGAAAGGCCGGAGCACCUACUCCUACUCCUUGCAAGGCCCCCUUCAGCGAUCCGAGCCGGGGAAGAGCAUCCAGCUGACCUACGUGUCCUCCGGAUUCCCGUCGCGCCACAUUACCGUGACCUGGUUUAAAAAGAACCACGAGCUCCCAAAGACGCAGAACUACGUCCACCCCAGUGGGGACACACACAAUGUGACCAGCCGAGUGCUCGUCCCGCUGCAAGUGGAUGAUGUGCUCUCCUUCGUCCGAUGCCACGUCAGUCGUAAAUCCACACUGGUCUUCCAGAAAGCCAUCAACCUGGACCAGUACCUCCGUGUUCCCUCUACAGUGACAGUGUCCCAGUCUUCACGCUCCUCGGACUUGGUGGCUGUCACCUGCCGCGUGCAGAGAUUCUAUCCACAGAGUGUGCAUCUCACCUGGACGGAGAACUGCCAUACGAUCAAGGGAGCUGAGCAAUGCACAUCCAAGCAGAAUAGUGAUGGGACCUACACCCUGGAAAGCUUGCAUUUGGUGAACGUGUCAGGGCCGGGGUCCGAACACGUGCUCACCUGUAAGGUGCAGCACGAGACCCAACCUCCCAUCCAGGCCAGCCUCAUACUGUCUGCGGAAGCACACGGCACAUACAAGCCCAUCGGAAGCUCAGGUCCCGAGAUGCCUGUCCUCAUCUUUGUGGCAUUCCUUCUGGGCUUCAAGGUGCUGCUGGCGAUGAGUUUCAUAGUCACCUACAUCUGCAGGUGGCGGAGCUGGUAACAGGCUGAAAUGUCAGAGAGAAGUGAUUGCCAUCCGGACCUGACGGUCCACAAGCAUAAAGCAUUUACUGUCCGGCCAUCUAAGACAAAGCUCGCCAACGCCUGAGAGACAAUAUUUAAAGACAAACAAUCCCAUUUUGUAAGUGCAUGAAAGAUUUGA